AUUGAACGCUGGCGGCAGGCCUAACACAUGCAAGUCGAGCGGAUGAAGGGAGCUUGCUCCUGGAUUCAGCGGCGGACGGGUGAGUAAUGCCUAGGAAUCUGCCUGGUAGUGGGGGAUAACGUCCGGAAACGGGCGCUAAUACCGCAUACGUCCUGAGGGAGAAAGUGGGGGAUCUUCGGACCUCACGCUAUCAGAUGAGCCUAGGUCGGAUUAGCUAGUUGGUGGGGUAAAGGCCUACCAAGGCGACGAUCCGUAACUGGUCUGAGAGGAUGGUCAGUCACACUGGAACUGAGACACGGUCCAGACUACUAAGGGAGGCAGCAGUGGGGAAUAUUGGACAAUGGGCGAAAGCCUGAUCCAGCCAUGCCGCGUGUGUGAAGAAGGUCUUCGGAUUGUAAAGAACUUUAAGUUGGGAGGAAGGGCAGUAAGUUAAUACCUUGCUGUUUUGACGUUACCAACAGAAUAAGCACCGGCUAACUUCGUG
rnacentral:rRNA from 1 species